GUACGCUGGCGGCACGCCUAACACAUGCAAGUCGAACGAAGUAGCAAUACUUAGUGGCAGACGGGUGAGUAACAUGUAGGUAUCUGCCCUUUGGCCUGGAAUAACACGAGGAAACUUGUGCUAAUACCGGAUAAGUCUUUACGGAGAAAGCUUUAUGCACCAUUGGAUGAGCCUGCACUUGAUUAGUUUGUUGGUGGGGUAAUGGCCUACCAAGACUGUGAUCAAUAGCUGAUUUGAGAGGAUGAUCAGCCACAUUGGGACUGAGACACGGCCCAAACUCCUACGGGAGGCAGCAGUGGGGAAUCUUGCACAAUGGAGGAAACUCUGAUGCAGCGAUGCCGCGUGAGUGAAGAAGGCCCUUGGGUUGUAAAGCUCUUUCGUCGGGGAAGAAAAUGACUGUACCCGAAUAAGAAGGUCCGGCUAACUUCG
rnacentral:rRNA from 1 species